AGCGAACGCUGGCGGCAGGCUUAACACAUGCAAGUCGAGCGGGCACUUUCGGCUGUCAUCGGCGGACGGGUGAGUAACGCGUGGGAACGUGCCCUCUUGUUCGGAAUAACUCAGGGAAACUUCAGCUAAUACCGGAUACUCCCGUUUGGGGGAAGGCUUGCUGCCGGAGGAUCGGCCCGCGUCUGUUUAGCGAGUUGGUGAGGUAACGGCUCACCAAGGCGACGAUCAGUAGCUGGGCGGAGCGGAUGAUCAGCGACACUGGGACUGAGACACGGCCCCGAAUCCUACGCGAGGGAGCAGUGGGGAAUACUGGACAAUGGGCGCAAGCCUGAUCCAGCCAUGCCGGGUAAGUGAUGAAGGCCUUAGGGUUGUAAAGCUCUUUUAUCCGGGACGAUAAUGACGGUACCGGAGGAAUAAGCCCCGGCUAACUUCGUG
rnacentral:rRNA from 1 species